rnacentral:rRNA from 1 species
GUGAGGAAUAUUGCGCAAUGGAGGCAACUCUGACGCAGCCAUGCCGCGUGCAGGAAGAAGGCGCUACGCGUUGUAAACUGCUUUUAACCGGGAAGAAACCCCAGGACGUGUCCUGGGUUGACGGUACCGGAGGAAUAAGCACCGGCUAACUUCGUGCCAGCAGCCGCGGUAAUACGAAGGGUGCAAGCGUUAUCCGGAUUCAUUGGGUUUAAAGGGUGCGUAGGCGGAGCGUUAAGUCAGUGGUGAAAUCCUGCAGCUUAACUGUAGACUUGCCAUUGAUACUGGCGCUCUUGAGUGCGCUUGAAGUGGGCGGAAUGUGCCGUGUAGCGGUGAAAUGCUUAGAUAUGGCACAGAACACCAAUUGCUAAGGCAGCUCACUAAGGCGAUACUGACGCUGAGGCACGAAAGCGUGGGGAUCGAACAGGAUUAGAUACCCCUGUAGUCC